UGAUGUUAAGAAUCAGAGAAUUUUUCUCCUAUUUUUCCUCCAAUUCUCAACGUGCUAUGUUGAUACAUUGGACUGCAUUAAUUUCCAUAGAAUACAUCCCACGUAUUUCUGUUUCCAACACAUGGCUUCUACACCAAUCUUCUUUAGUUAUAUCAAUUGCCCCUUUUUCUGUUUCAAUUCAAUUGGAGCAAAUUUCCUUCAACUAUGGUAUACGCUGCAACCAUCUUUCUGCCGUAGACGCAGUUUUGAUACCGCUAUUCGAGAAAUCUCAUCUUCAAAUCCAGAUUUCUUUCUUUGGGUUUUUCCAUUCAAGCCUGUUAACGUGUUUUUUCUAUCAUUUACAAUUUUCUUGAUCCAUUUAUGCCAUAUAAGAAAUUGAUUUUACUCUUCUACAUCUUCAUCAAGUUAUAUUAUGGAAAACUAUAUCCCCUACAAAUGAACUAUUUCAAAUACUGCAAGCAACAAAAGAAAUUGGAGCACCCACAAAUUUGUUUGAGGUCUCCUGGUAUGUAAAUACAAUCUUUACAUGGUUGAGUGAAAGAGGAGCAAAAGAAAGAAUAAAUUGAAUUUAGUCAAAGUCGGUAUGAAACGAUUUUUUAUUUGUAGUAUUUGUCAAUAAUUAUAGACAACAUGUGAAACAUGUGAAUAGUUGAUAGUUAAUUUUAGGUUGAUGUAGUUUUGCUAGCAUAAUAUACUGAAAAUGAUAUUAGUUUGGUAUUUGACCCAUGUGAAUAGUUGAUCCCCUAAAAACACGUCUUCUUUUCAUGGAUUAUAAUUUCAUCGCUUAUUUGCUUGGUUGAGUAUAAUAUUUGGCCUUUGCUAUCAAUUUUUUAAGGGGCUAAAUUCACUUGCUCAAUAGUCAUUUCAAAUUCACUUUUCAGAAUUGUGAUGCUUUAUUUUUGUUAUGCAUGGGUCAACCAAACUCACUCUGCAAUCUUCUUCCAAACUAAGCUUCAAAAUCCCAAUUCUUUGUUGAUGCACCGGUGUCCACGACACACCCUUUGUCGCUUGCAAGGUGUCUGUACCGGCAAUAUAAGCUCCAUACUUCACUGGAUUUCAGUGUGUCUCUUUCCACGCGCUAGCAGUGGUGAGGGUAGAGGAUUGCAUGAGACAAAGGCACAAAUUUCAGUGGUUUUUUAGUAGCCAAAUUCAAUGUUGUGAAGAUUGAAAGAAAAAUGAUCAUGUAGCUUGAAAUAAAAAAUUUACAAUUGAAAGUUCUAUGAAGAAUUAUAGUAUUAGAUUUUUUAGGAGUUAUGUUAUAUUUGGGAUAUUGAUAUUGACUAUUGAGUUCUGCAAAGUUUCGUGUAAAGUUCCUUAAUUUGUAUUCCUUAAUCAUGUAAACUUCAUUUGGAUGCCAAGUUGGUUGAAUUUUUUCCAAUAUACUACUUUAUUUGAUGUACA